CCUGCAUGUAGUGUCCAGGUACACCGUGCUCCCUCUGCAUGUAGAGUCCAGGUACACAGUGUGCCCCCUGCAUGUAGUGUCCAGGUACACUGUGUGCCCCCUGCAUGUAGUGUCCAGGUACACCGUGCUCCCUCUGCAUGUAGAGUCCAGGUACACAGUGUGCCCCCUGCAUGUAGUGUCCAGGUACACUGUGUGCCCCCUGCAUGUAGUGUCCAGGUACACCGUGUGCCCCCUGCAUGUAGUGUCCAGGUACACAGUGCUCCCAGUCCCCCUGUGCUUGUCCAGUAUGGGGCAGUGGGUGUAAAGAGUUAGUGCUAACACAGAAUUUAGGGAGGGGAGUCUCCAAGAAAGCUUGCUGUGAGUGUGUGCAGGGGGUUAUAGGGUGAACAGUCUGGAACUGUUACACUAUGUAUCAAUAUUCCCAGGAUACUGUGUCCAAGGAGAACUGCU